rnacentral:rRNA from 1 species
UGGGGAAUAUUGGACAAUGGGGGGAACCCUGAUCCAGCCAUGCCGCGUGUGUGAAGAAGGCCUUAUGGUUGUAAAGCACUUUAAGCGAGGAGGAGGCUACUCUAGUUAAUACCUAGGGAUAGUGGACGUUACUCGCAGGAUAAGCACCGGCUAACUCUGUG